GUACGUAGGGGCAAGCGUUGGUCCGGAAUCAUUGGGCGUAAAGCGCGUGUAGGCGGCCCGGUAAGUCCGCUGUGAAAGUCGGGGGCUCAACCCUCGAAUGCCGGUGGAUACUGUCGGGCUAGAGUGCGGAAGAGGCGAGUGGAAUUCCUGGUGUAGCGGUGAAAGUGCGCAGAUAUCAGGAAGAACACCCGUGGCUAAGGCGGCUCUCUAGUACGGUACUGACGCUGAGACGCGAAAGCGUGGGGAGCGAACAGG
rnacentral:rRNA from 1 species